ACACGGCCGACGUAGGUCAAAUUGUAGUAUCUGUUCUCAUGAGCUUAAUAUCUGAUACGGGUUCUAGUUGGACCCAAGAUAUUAAACUUAUCUUUGCAAGUUGGCGGAGUGCUUGAAGCCUGCUUCAUCUCCGCCGCGAGUCGGCCCGGUAUUUCACUAUCUUCGGGAUAUCACCUCACGGUUU